CCAAACUGUUGCCUCGGCGGGGUCACGCCCCGGGUGCGUAAAAGCCCCGGAACCAGGCGCCCGCCGGAGGAACCAACCAAACUCUUUCUGUAGUCCCCUCGCGGACGUAUUUCUUACAGCUCUGAGCAAAAAUUCAAAAUGAAUCAAAACUUUCAACAACGGAUCUCUUGGUUCUGGCAUCGAUGAAGAACGCAGCGAAAUGCGAUAAGUAAUGUGAAUUGCAGAAUUCAGUGAAUCAUCGAAUCUUUGAACGCACAUUGCGCCCGCCAGUAUUCUGGCGGGCAUGCCUGUCCGAGCGUCAUUUCAACCCUCGAACCCCUCCGGGGGAUCGGCGUUGGGGAUCGGGACCCCUCACCGGGUGCCGGCCCUGAAAUACAGUGGCGGUCUCGCCGCAGCCUCUCCUGCGCAGUAGUUUGCACAACUCGCACCGGGAGCGCGGCGCGUCCACGUCCGUAAAACACCCAACUUCUGAAAUGUUGACCUCGGAUCAGGUAGGAAUACCCGCUGAACUUAAGCAUAUCAAUAAGCGGAGGAA
rnacentral:rRNA from 1 species